UACGUAGGGUCCGAGCGUUAAUCGGAAUUACUGGGCGUAAAGCGUGCGCAGGCGGUUUUGUAAGCCAGAUGUGAAAUCCCCGGGCUUAACUUGGGAACUGCAUUUGGGACUGCAAGGCUGGAGUACGGCAGAGGGAGGUGGAAUUCCACGUGUAGCAGUGAAAUGCGUAGAGAUGUGGAGGAACACCGAUGGCGAAGGCAGCCUCCUGGGCUAGUACUGACACUCAUGCACGAAAGCGUGGGGAGCAAACAGG
rnacentral:rRNA from 1 species